rnacentral:rRNA from 1 species
UACGUAGGCAGCAAGCGUUGUUCGGAAUUACUGGGCGUAAAGAGUGCGUAGGCGGUUCCGCAAGUUUGUCGUGAAAUCUCCCGGCUUAACCGGGAGGGUGCGGCGGAAACUGGAGUGCUUGAGGGUGGGAGAGGUAAGCGGAAUUCCUGGUGUAGCGGUGAAAUGCGUAGAUAUCAGGAGGAACACCUGUGGUGUAGACAGCUUACUGGACCACUUCUGACGCUGAGACACGAAAGCGUGGGUAGCAAACAGG